rnacentral:lncRNA from 10 species
GCCGCUGCCUCCGGGCCCGCGCCUGCACGCGAAGCCGCCCUCCGCCCACCCCGCCCAGCGCACAGGGGAGCGGGCUCCGCCGAGGCCCUAAUGCCCGGCCUGCCAGGCAGCGGCGCGGCCAGGCGGCGCAGCCCCGCCCACCCCUCGGCAACCCCUCCGCGGCCCUUGUGCGCGAGCCGGGGAACUCCGGUCCGUCCCCACCCCGCGCGCGGCAGAGGGCAGGACCGAAGGCGGGCGCCACCUCCUGCCCGCGUCCCUGCGGUCCUAGAGCCGGGGACCCAGAGACCCCCGCGUAGGAAGGGGUGCGGCGGGGAGGCGCGGGGGUGGCGGCGGCGAUCUGGGAGAACCCUGGAGGGGACCAGCUGCGACACCCACCGCGGGCGAGGGGACGGCGAGCCCCCGCUGCCUAAACAGAAAACGGAGGCGAUGAUCUGGGUCCCCAGAGCACCAUCACUUCUAAGACUGUGACCUGCUUACAGAUCCACUCCUCUGCCCCCACAGUCCACAUGUCCACCCUGGGGGCCAUGGCUUAUUGAUUCUUCCAUGUAUCAGCCCAAGAAUCCCCUGCUGCCUUCUGAAUAAAGGGUGCAAAUACACGAAGCCUGCUCACGAAUCAACAUAAAACUUGGCUUCCGAUCCCGCUUCCCUGCCUGUCUGCUUCCACACUUUUCACUCACGGACUUUCCUGCUCCCCCGGGCACCUUGUCUCCUUUUCCAUCUGUGCUGACCCUUUGGCUUAGUGACUCAGCUUUUGGAUUGGCCACUUGGCUGGGCCCUUGGUCCCUGCAAAACUGAGUUUCCUGUAUCUGUGCUCUGUCAACUCUGAGUCAGCCAAACAGCUGAGGUCAUUCUCUACUUGUCACCACCGAUGAGGACGGAGAGCCAACACCACCAGUCAGUCACCCAAGCUGGAAAUUUAAGCAUCAUCAUUUCUUCUUUUCCUUCCCAGCCCUCCCAUCGCUGCUUGCAGGCCAGUGAGUUCCACCCCAGGAAUGUUCCACCCCAGUGUAUAUAUUUCCUUCUGAAGUCCCAUCCCCAUACUGCUUGAGAUCGGGGCUCAUAAUUCCCCCAAUAAACCACUGUCCAGCCUCCUGCCUCACCUCUAUCUAGCCUCUAGUCUGUGCCUCCAGUUCUUUACACCCUGCCACAGUGACUGCAAGUCUGGUCCCAGUGCUGCCCUGCGGAGAAACCUCCACAGGUUCCCACUGCCAGGGGACCAAGUUGAAGCUCUUUGCGAGAACUGCGCCCUCUCGCUAUGGCCAGCCCACCACUCCAGCUCAGCCCUCCUCCCACAGGCCACACUUGUUCAACACGCUGAACCUUUGCCUUUCCCAAGGGCUUCCACCAUCCUUUAAAUCUGCCCACAUUGUUCCUUCUGCCAAGAGUGACCAUGUGGUCUGGUUUGCCCAGAACAACCUGUUUACGCCUAUUUUCUGGUGUAAUUAUUAAUUAACCACCCUCCCCCUCCACCCGCCCAAGUGUCCUGGUUUGAACAAGUUACAUGGUCAGAUUACAUUUGCCUUAAUUCUUCACCUGGCAAAUCUCUGCU